GCGCUCGUAGUCUAGUGGUAGGAUUUGAGCUUCCCAAGCUUAAGACCCGGGUUCAAACCCCGGCGGGCGCA
rnacentral:tRNA from 1 species